rnacentral:rRNA from 1 species
UAAGGGAUAUUGCGCAAUGGGCGAAAGCCUGACGCAGCAACGCCGCGUGGAGGAUGAAGGCCUUCGGGUCGUAAACUCCUUUUGGACCUGACGAGCAAGGACGGUAGGGUCCGAAUAAGUCACGGCUAACUACGUGCCAGCAGCCGCGGUAAAACGUAGGUGGCGAGCGUUAUCCGGAUUUACUGGGCGUAAAGGGUGUGCAGGCGGGGCGGCAAGUGGUGUAUGAAAGCGUUCGGCUCAACCGGGCGUGGCUAUGCCAGACUGCGGCUCUAGAGGACGAGAGAGGGGCGUGGAAUUCCGGGUGUAGUGGUGAAAUGCGUAGAGAUCCGGAGGAACCCCAGAGGCGAAGGCGGCGCCCUGGCUCGGUCCUGACGCUCAGACACGACAGCAUGGGGAGCGAACGGG